AAGAGCUCGUAGGCGGUCUGUCGCGUCUGCUGUGAAAACCCGAGGCUCAACCUCGGGCUUGCAGUGGGUACGGGCAGACUAGAGUGCGGUAGGGGAGAUUGGAAUUCCUGGUGUAGCGGUGGAAUGCGCAGAUAUCAGGAGGAACACCGAUGGCGAAGGCAGAUCUCUGGGCCGUAACUGACGCUGAGGAGCGAAAGCGUGGGGAGCAAACAGGCUUAGAUACCCUGGUAGUCCACGCCGUAAACGUUGGGAACUAGAUGUGGGGACCAUUCCACGGUCUCCGUGUCGUAGCUAACGCAUUAAGUUCCCCGCCUGGGGAGUACGGCCGCAAGGCUAAAACUCAAAGGAAUUGACGGGGGCCCGCACAAGCGGCGGAGCAUGCGGAUUAAUUCGAUGCAACGCGAAGAACCUUACCAAGGCUUGACAUGUACGAGAACGCGCUGGAGACAGCGAACUCUUUGGACACUCGUAUACAGGUGGUGCAUGGUUGUCGUCAGCUCGUGUCGUGAGAUGUUGGGUUAAGUCCCGCAACGAGCGCAACCCUCGUCCUAUGUUGCCAGCACGUCAUGGUGGGAACUCAUGGGAUACUGCCGGGGUCAACUCGGAGGAAGGUGGGGAUGAGGUCAAAUCAUCAUGCCCCUUAUGUCUUGGGCUUCACGCAUGCUACAAUGGCCGGUACAAUGGGCUGCGAUACCGCAAGGUGGAGCGAAUCCCAAAAAGCCGGUCUCAGUUCGGAUUGAGGUCUGCAACUCGACCUCAUGAAGUCGGAGUCGCUAGUAAUCGCAGAUCAGCAACGCUGCGGUGAAUACGUUCCCGGGCCUUGUACACACCGCCCGUCAAGUCAUGAAAGUCGGUAACACCCGAAGCCGGUGGCCUAACCUUUUGGAGGGAGCCGUCGAAGGUGGGAUCGGUGAUUAGAC
rnacentral:rRNA from 1 species